rnacentral:rRNA from 1 species
AUUGAACGCUGGCGGCAUGCUUUACACAUGCAAGUCGAACGGCAGCGCGGGCUUCGGCCUGGCGGCGCGUGGCGAACGGGUGAGUAAUGCAUCGGAACGUGCCCAGUAGUGGUGGAUAGCCCGGCGAAAGCCGGAUUAAUACCGCAUACGACCUGAGGGUGAAAGCGGGGGACCGAAAGGCCUCGCGCUCUUUGAGCGGCCGAUGUCGGAUUAGCUAGUUGGUGGGGUGAAGGCUUACCAAGGCGACGAUCCGUAGCUGGUCUGAGAGGACGACCAGCCACACUGGGACUGAGACACGGCCCAGACUCCUACGGGAGGCAGCAGUGGGGAAUUUUGGACAAUGGGGGCAAACCUGAUCCAGCCAUGCCGCGUGCGGGAAGAAGGCCUUCGGGUUGUAAACCGCUUUUGUUCGGGAAGAAAUCCUCUGGGCUAAUACCCCGGGGGGAUGACGGUACCGGAAGAAUAAGCACCGGCUAACUACGUG